GCCUCUGAAGCUACGGUCUUCGGUACAUUCUACUGAAAAAGAGUCUAGAGCACCAGUUCCCGGAUCACCUGCACUUUGAGGAGACCAUUUCUGCCCAGGCUACAGGG